rnacentral:siRNA from 1 species
CGAAAUCAUUUAGGUGAUGUUC